rnacentral:misc_RNA from 1 species
GAAAUGCGAUAAGUAAUGUGAAUUGCAGAAUUCAGUGAAUCAUCGAAUCUUUGAACGCACCUUGCGCCCCUUGGUAUUCCGAGGGGCAUGCCUGUUUGAGUGUCAUUAAAUUCUCAACCUUAGAAGGCUUUUGAAGUCGUCUUAAGGCUUGGAUAUGGAGGCUGCGGGCUUGUUUCAAGUCGGCUCCUCUUAAAUGCAUUAGCUGGGUUUGCGCCUUCAGCCUAUUGGUGUGAUAAUAUCUACGCCUCUUGGGUCGUUAGCGUGUUUACUUCUCCAGCUUCUAACCGUCCUUUACCGGACAAUACUUGACCAUUUGACCUCAAAUCAGGUAGGACUACCCGCUGAACUUAA